GGCUUUUGCCGACUGUCUUUUGGCGAACCUAAACCGUUCGCAGAAUAAGUUCUGGGUAAGACCAGUGCCAGCCGCCAUGCGCAUUCGCAUAAUGCGCACGGUAUGCGGUAAUACUGGCAGAACGAGUGGUGCCCACGAAUAUUGGGUCUAAAGAGACCGUAGCUGGCCUGUUAAGUCCACUGUGAAAUCUUGGGGCUCAACCUCAAGGCGUGCAGUGGAUACUGGCAGGCUUGAGAGCGGGGGAGGUCAGGGGUACUUACGGGGUAUGAGUAAAAUCAGUUGAUCCUGUAAGGACCACCAGUGGCGAAGGCGCCUGACCAAAACGCGUCUGACAGUGAGGGUCGAAGGCUAGGAGAACGAAUCGGAUUAGAUACCCGAGUAGCCCUAGCAGUAAAUUAUGCAGACUGUGGUGUUGCUGUGGCUUCGGGCCACAGCAGUGCUGUAGCGUAGGUGUUAAGUCUGCCACCUGGGGAGUACGGGCGCAAGGUUGAAACUUAAAGGAUUGGCG
rnacentral:rRNA from 1 species